rfam:Lentibacillus amyloliquefaciens strain LAM0015, complete genome.
AGACCCUUUAAUAUAGUCCAGAGAGGCUAAAAAGGCAUCGGAACAAUGAUAAAUGUAAUGGUCGUAUGUUCAAAUCCCUUUUUGCCUCUGUGGCGAAAAGGGAUUUUUCAG